GGCAAUCGUAAAGAAAGAAAGGAAAUUUCGUUGCGGUCAAUUGAAAUACUUGCCUGUCAUUGAAGAGUCUUGGAAGCCAGAAAUAAAAAAAACGCCAUGUUCUCCGGCGAGUCCGGUUCUCACAGCGGUGGAAAGUUCUGAAAGAGCACAAACACGAGUUGUUGCGGCUUGAGUCUAAACCUUCCACCGUCGACUGUCCAAACUCCACCAACUCAGUUCAACAAAAAAUGCGCCUCCGCCCUAACGUCCUCGAAUCAAACACCGACGUCGACCGAAACAACACACUCCAUGAAGAAAACGGAAACGUGGCUCUGCUAGCGCGAUUUCGAUUUCUCUACGAAGAAUUGAGAAGAAGCUUCGAAUGUGCGUCGACUCCGUGCUUCAUGUGGAGACGACGACGAAGAGAAUCGAAUCGAUCGUUGUUUAGCGAUGAAGGAUGAAAGAGGAAUCGAAUCGUGGCGGCGGUGUAUUGUGAGCUUAUACGAAUCUUGUUAACGGUUCUCGGUGGAGUAUCGUUGCGAGGUUGAGAGUUCGCGGUGGCGAUGGUUGUUGGAAGCGGUUGAAGGUGAUGGAAGAGAUUAACGGCGAGGGUGAAGAAAACUGAAGAUUGUGAAAUUUGAGAGAGAGGUUGAAGAAAACUCCAGAAAAUUUCUUGUUAGAUCCUGUUGGAUUUAUAGGGAUGAGAGGUUGAAGAAAACUGUUAGAGAUGUGAUGCGAAUCCAACUGAAAUUCAACUUGCAGUUGGAAAUCGAAACAUCUUGUUAGCGCCAAAUUCUGAUUUCAAAUGCCAAAUGAGAUGCUACUCGGUGUUGUCGUUUACGCGUCGGAUGGCGUUUCUGUGGUAGCUGCUGCUUUGGCUUGCGUUUGGUUAUGCCGUUGAAUUGCCGGCUGUUGUAAGGCUUGUGCGAGUUUGGCGGUUUUUGCAGUAGCUUAUUGGAUUAUCACUGUUGGUGUACUGCGCUCGUUAUGCUGCAGUUCGCUGCGAAUUUCACGCUCGCGUUGCGUUUUGGCUGGCUGUAGUUUUGUUUCUCGGUAGCGGCAUUGCAGUUUGGUUUCUCGGCUUGUGAAUGAGCUACAACAGCUUUUGGCUGCAGCUUUUAUUUGUUGGCUUGGUGCGUUCACUGCUGCAUUCUGAAGUUAUUGUUUUGAGUUGCAACUGGUUUUGGUUGUGUACGUUUUGCGCAACAACACCUUUUCCAUUUGCCUGCCUCUUUGUUGCUUGUUGUGGUUGGUUAUGACUGUGGCAGUUUGGUUUGUCGUAUUGAUCUGCAACGACCUGUCUCCGCUGUGUUCAUGGCUAUCACUGAAGUCGAUAGGAACUUCUGCACUAGAUGUACUAGCAGUGACUUUUUUCCUCUUAGAAACGGUUGUAACCUUAUUUUCAUCAUCACUGGCAUUAUUUGCAACAUUUCAUGGACAUUUGGAUAUGAGUAUUGGACAUGGAUAUGGAUUGGAUUUA